rnacentral:lncRNA from 1 species
CGCUAAUCUCCAGAGACAGUCUCUGGUUUCUACAAGGACUCCCCCCAGACCUUCCCCCACCCCUUGCCCUCUGGGCUGCUGGGGAGGGAGACUUGGGAAAGGCACCAGAGGCUGGGAGGGUGCAGCUGGACUCCUCAGGGACUCGGUGGUUUUUUUGCAAUAGAGGCCUUCCUAUUACGUGUCGCAGAUGGGGUGCAGAGGGCAGCGCUCCAGGGCUCACAUGCCGGACUCUGUUUCCUUGGGCAUAGGACACGGUACCACCUCGCUCUCGCGCCCCCUCGCCACUAGGGCUGUGGCACAGAGGGGACAAACACCCUCAAGGCCUAGUGCCAGGUAAUUACCAAGCAAAUUCCCGGCGAUUUCCUUUCCUCCCCCGGGCAGUGCCUGCUGCGUGUUCCCUGAUUCGGGCCCCGGCUGUGCAAUCAAGACCAGGUAACCUGCGGGGACCCGUAAUUGCUCUGGAGUUGCCUGGGACUUUGCAAGAGGGUCAGACUGGGAAGGGUCUUGCUCAUCCAGUGCUUCAGGGCCUAGCACAAGGCCUGUCCAUGGCAGAUGCUUUGAAUGUUUGCUCGGAAUUGAAGUGA